AACUAUGGGAUAGUUUCGGUCCCUGUGGUCCAUGUGAGGGAUUGCAUGGAUGUUCUUGAAGUCCAUGAAAAGCCGAUUGUUCAGAGGAUCGAUGAUGUGGACUUGCGUAUUGCUUGUAGCAGAUAGAUUGAACCGAGAGUUAGUUGCCUGGAAACCUGGAUAGGAACGGUUUACUUCUACUCGAAAGAUUUCCACCAAUUUUCCCUCUUGCUUCUCUACGCCUCAAAACCUAACAGAAUUCCCAUAAAUGGUCAUCUCCAUCUUGGUUCCCUACAUAAAUAAAGCACAAGGAUCAAGUUUUUAUUUUUCACGGUUACAUGCUACACUACAAAAAAAGUCUUCAUUGAUAGCAGAUUGUUAUAACACGUUUUACUAAACUGCUAUUGUAGAUUAGUUAAAAAUUUCCGAAUUAUAUAAUAGCCUUAGAAAAACGCUAUGAUAGACUGAAACCUAAAAUAGCACUUAAUUAAUGCUAUUUUAAAAAUUAAGUGAGCGGGAGGAUAAACCAUUGAUUCCGCCAAUAGUUACCGGGAAAUUGACUUAAGCGCCAAAGAUAAUAUUUAAGCGGUUUUAGUAAUGCGAUCGAAGACAUAUAAUAGCAUUUUUCUAACGUUAAGAAAAACUAAUUGGACCCUAAACCUAAACAUGAUUCUAAACCCUAAAAUCUAAAGACAACCCUUAAAACUCUAAUCUUAUCAUAUUAUAACUUCAAAUCUUAAAAAUUAAACUCAAAAUUUAAUCUUCUUAAUCUCAAACUAUCAUUUCCUAAAUAAAUCUAUAAUCAAACCCGAAAUCAUACCUGGAAUGAAGUGGGUAAGUUGAAACCCUAAACCUACUUUUAAACCUUAGAGGCCUAAAUUCUUAACAUAAACUUUAAACUCGAAUGUUUUCAUACUAUAAUCUCAAAUCUUAAAUUUAAACUCAAAAUUUAAUAUUCUCAAUCUUAGUCUAUAGCUUCCAAAACAAAAUAAUUUAAAUUUUCAAUCAAACUCUAUACUCUAAACUCUAAUUUCAAACAUAAACUUUACAUCCACUAAAAAUAAACUUCAAAUCUAAAUUCUUAAAAUUAAAACACAGAUCUAAAACAUAAUAUUUCAAUCUAAUACUUUUCAAAUUUUAAUCCAAAAUCUUAAUUCUAAACCCUAUAUCUCAUACUCCAAACUUAUAUCUUAAACACUAAUCUUUAAAUGAAUCUAACUAAAUUCAUAAUAGCUUUUAAUUAUAUAAAUUAAAUCAUACCUACAAAAUAUAUAAGCAUUCAUUAAGAUUUAAAAACUUGAAUCAUAAUCAUUUAAAAUCAUUAAUUUAAUUCAUAUGAUUUAAACUGCAAAUUUAAAAACCCGUGUCGUUAAGCCUUCUACGACAAAAAAUAAUAAGGGAAAUCUAACUUCUUUUGAUCCUUGUUUUCUAUUGGCGAGAUAACGAUGGUGUGGAUCACUAAUUUUAACCAUCGAUUAUAUUUUAAUCAAUGACCAGAUUGAUUCUUGGUCUAUUUGUUUCUCUCGAUCUUACGCGACUUUUGCUUUCUUCUUCAAUCGUUCAUUUCUCUCACACACAACACAGAUUCAUCAAUCAAGCUGUCCGCCUUCUGAUUGUGCGACAGAGACCAAGCGAAGUGGUGGAACAGAGAGAGGAGAUAGAGCUCGGAGAUGCAGAGAAAGAAGAAGAUGCGACGGUCGGUCUCGAACUCGCCCUCAUGGUCACCGGUCUCUAGCUCGUUCCCGUCUCACCAGCACCACCACCGACGCGCUCGUCACCACCACUACUCCCUUCGAUUCCGUCGCACUCUUCACCACCACCACGGUCCUAUAUAUAUAUAUAUAUUAACCUCCAUUCUUCGUUGAUGGGACAAUGAUUGAAGACCUUCACGGUGGUGGAAGAAGACCUUGACGGGACAGUGGUUGAAGACUUUGACGGUGGAAGAAGAAGAGGAAGCUAUUGCGGCUGGACUCUUAUUUUUUUAGGUUUAGGUUUUUUCAGAUUUGGUUUAGUGUAAACCAAGUUGGGGAAAUUGUGCUGGUUUGACUUUAGUGUUUAAUUUUGGUUUGUUUUGUAAACCGAAAUUUAUAUGUAAACCCAUUUUAAUUUAUAAAUAAAAUUUAUUUUAUUUUUAA